GGGGUGGAUGGGGGGGCGUCCAAGGGCUAGGUGUCCGAGCUUUGCAAUGAAAAACUGAUGCAUGAACCAGAUACCAAAUUACAAAUUUCACACUGCACAGUCUGAGUGUGAAAGGUCCUCCUUGAAUCCCCACACAAGCUCCCAUCUUGUGAUCUGGACACCUUUUAUUGUCAGGGCACCUGGGACCACCUUAAGCAUCUUAGGUCACUGGAUAAUUUCCACUUUCAUGGGAGAAUUUUAAUCCAAGCCUAGAGAUGGAAAUUUUGCUCUGCUCCACCUUUAGAAAGAGCCUGUUAAAGCAGUCUUCUCUUUUAUAGCGCCUUAUCCGUUACUAACGGUUUCUCCACAAUAGCUGUUAUAGUUGAUCACCCAUUUGUUAUGUGUCCGGAUAUGCAUAUAGACUAUUGUUGAGCCUCAUUUUCAAACUAUCAUUUUAAUGUGGGAUAUUCCCUGGGGGAGAAUCCAGAGAGGGCAACAGUAGUAUUUAGGUUGAUUUUUGUUGGCAUCAUUUUCUAAAGAUGCAGAUCCCUGUGUACUGACCGCAUCCCAGAAACAGGAAACAAGACCACAUGUUUAGAAAAACACACAGAGGCCAAGGGAGAUCACAUGUACUGGCAGGUUGGGGGAGGGGGGGGGAGUCUGCCAAAUUUCAUCCGUCUUGAGUCUCUGCAUAAUCCACAGUUAGGGACCCCUCCCUUACCUGCUUUCCCACUGCAUGGCUCUCUGCUCUGAGACAAUCAUUUCACAAUCUAUUGUGGAGUCUACGAUGGCACCCUGGAGCCUGUGUUUUUAACAAUCCCCCAACUUCUCCAGGUGAUUUCAGUGCUUUAAGCCAUGGGAAGCCAUAAAAGGUGGUGACAUGAUUAAGUUCAUAUCUUCAAAGGUCACCCUGACAACAGCCUGAUGACUCAACUGGAUGGGGCUGUUCUGGAGGCCCGUGGAACGUGCUGGGGAAGAAAUGGUGAGGGUCUAAACUAGGAGAGUGGCUGUGAAGAGGGGAUGAGGUGGGAGGAAGGGAAUGAUUCACCAGAGAGUAUUUAGGAGGUAGACUUGAGGUAACGUGGUAAUUGGUUGAAUAUGCAGAGCAAGGGAAAAGAAGGAGUUAAAGUUUUAGCUUGGGAGGUUGAAAACUCGGUGGCUUCAAACAAUGAACAUUUAUUAUCUCACAGUUUCUGUGGAUCAAGAUUUCAAGAGCAUCUUAGCUGGGUUGUUCUGUCUCAGUAUUUCACAUGAGACUGGUGAGCAUGUCAGCUGGGGCUUGGUUAGGGGCUGAGGGAUCCAUUUCUACAAUGUCUCACUCAUAUGGCCGUUGGCCAGAGGCCUCAGUUGCUCACCAUAUUGGCCUCUCCAUAGUGCUGCUUGGAUGUCUUUGAGACAUGGUAGUGAAUGAUCCAAGAGAGUGGAAGGAAGAAGUCAUGAUGCAUUUGCUGACUUAGCCUCAGGAGUCACAUUCCAUCACUUCCACAGUAUCCUAUUGUUACACUGGUCAGCUCUAUUCCGUGUGAGAGGGGACUACAUGAAAACACCAGGUGGUAGGGAUCAUUGGUGGUCAUCUUGGAGGCUGGCUACCACAGUGGAUAAAAAAACCAUCGAAGCAUUAGGAGAAAACAGGUAAAUUCCUCUAUAGUCUUUGACUCAAAAUCUAGAAGCAUAAGGGAAAAGAUUGAUCAAUUUGACACACUGUGCGUAUUUAUAACUUUAUUAUGACAGAAGACACCAUAAGAAAGUCCAAGAUAUAAUAAACUGAGAAAAUAUCUCUAAUGCCUAUCACAAAGGACUGAGAAGAAAAAACCUCCAAUUGUGUAGAAAGUGGGCAAGAGAUAUGGAAAGACAGUUGGUUGUGAUUUAUGUAAGGUCACACGUGCAGCCAGUGUUGUUUGGAAUCUGUCUCCAGACCUGUUGGCGUGUCCUCCAAGUGUCCUGCUCCGCCCUGUUCUGCCAGGGGCACAGUGCCAGCUACUCCAGGCCUGACAUGGAAAAAGAAAGGAAGAGAAUGCGGGGGCUAGCCAUGGAGAGAUGACUUCAGCUUGGAGAAUCCACUGUAGCAGGAGAGUUUGUUCAGCCUGCCUAGAAACGAAGGCACGUCACUGCAGUUAAAUGGAAUUCACCUAUGAAUGACCAGCAACAUCCAGUGCACCAAGAAUCAUCACAUAAAAACGAUUUCUCAAAAGGUUUUUUGAAAAGGGUUUAAAAAAGGUGCACAAUAUGUUUUCUCAAAAAUGCAUAGAUUCCACUUAGGUGACAUUCUGGAAAAGGCAACACCGUAGGGACAGAAAUCAGAUCAGUGGUUGCCAGAUCCUGGGGUGAGAGGAAAGGAUCGCCUACAGAGGACAUGGGGGAACUCUUGGGUGGUGAUGAAAACAUUCUAGAUUGCAGCGGUGGAUACAUGGUUGUACAUAUCUGUCAAAACUCAAAACUGCACACCUAAGAAGGGUGAAUGUUACUGUAUUUAAAUUAUACCUCAAUAAGUCUGACUUUAAAAAUGUACAGAUUCCAACUUCUAGAUCAACCUGAAUUUCCCUCUGUAACCUUGACCUUUUUAUUACAUACCUUCUUUCGUUGACAAGUUUAUCUAGUUUUAAUCUUCAAAAUGAUUUCCAGCCGAUUUUACCUAAGUUAUAGAAAGUUAAUGUUUUCAUAUAUAUUGCUUCUUUUGUCCAACCGUCCCAUUUUAGGCAGCCAACAUUUAUUGAGCCCCGUGCCUGCAAAAAGUCUUCUCUCAAUAUCCCUAUGAAGUAUAUCCUUUUAUUACUCCCAUUGUAAGGAUGAGGAAAUUGAGGUCAGGGAGAUUAAUGAAAAUCUUCAAUAAGAAUGGAUCCGGGGCUUCCCUGGUGGCGCAGUGGUUGAGAGUCUGCCUGCCGAUGCAGGGGACACGGGCUCGUGCCCCGGUCCGGGAAGAUCCCAUGUGCCGCGGAGCGGCUGGGCCCGUGAGCCAUGGCCGCUGAGCCUGCGCGUCCGGAGCCUGUGCUCCGCAACGGGAGAGGCCACAACAGUGAGAGGCCCGCGUAUGGCAAAAAAAAAAAAAAAAAAAAGAAUGGAUCUGAACUCAGGGGUACCCUAUUCCAUAGUCAGUGCUCCUAACCUCGAUGCUAUUCUGUCUUGAUGCUGCAUUUCAAAACGUGCUUCUGAUUCCCUGCAGAUCUUCUCUAUGUGCCUAACACAUACCUACAGACAAAGGACAUUCAAAUUUGCUUUCUGACAACAGCAUGUUAGAAGGACUCUUGAAAAUCAUUUUGCCAACAGGAGUUCUCAUUUGGCUUGUUUACGUUUGUCAUAUAAGCCUUAAGGUUAUAACAUUCUAAACUGAAACACCAAAGAAGCAGGAUGCCCAAGAUCUCACAGUACUGCAAUGAAAACACCCACAAUCCUCUGUGUAAUGAGAUGAAAAUAAGUAAAUGAAAGAGAGGAAUGCUUUUCCAGAAAUCCAUCUUGUGCUCAUGGACAGAGAGCUGCAGCAUGUGGUCAGUUCCUGCACCUUCGGUCAGUUCCUAAGAGCCAAAGAAACAGUAUUUGAACAUGACUUUGAUCUACAGUGACCACAGCCAAAGAUUGUUUAUGUGGAGACCUACUAUUCUUCCUGGAUUCCAUCCUGCAUUAAAAGAUGAGUAUAAUUGUAUUGUAGAAAAGCA